UCCUGGCUCAGGAUGAACGCUGGCGGCGUGCUUAACACAUGCAAGUCGAACGAUGAUGCCCAGCUUGCUGGGUGGAUUAGUGGCGAACGGGUGUAAAAUAACGUGAGUAACCUGCCCUUGACUCUGGGAUAAGUUUAACCAAACUGGGUCUAAUACCGGAUAUGACUGCUCCGCGCAUGCGGUGGUGGUGGAAAGCUUUUGCGGUUUUGGAUGGACUCGCGGCCUAUCAGCUUGUUGGUGGGGUAAUGGCCUACCAAGGCGACGACGGGUAGCCGGCCUGAGAGGGUGACCGGCCACACUGGGACUGAGACACGGCCCAGACUCCUACGGGAGGCAGCAGUGGGGAAUAUUGCACAAUGGGCGCAAGCCUGAUGCAGCGACGCCGCGUGAGGGAUGACGGCCUUCGGGUUGUAAACCUCUUUCAGUAGGGAAGAAGCGUAAGUGACGGUACCUGCAGAAGA
rnacentral:rRNA from 1 species